rnacentral:lncRNA from 1 species
GUAAAAGCGAAAAUGAAGGAAAAGUUAAUUAUUUUUUUUAUAUAUAUAUUCCAAAAAGAACUCGUUAGAAAAGAAGAAAUAGAAUAUUUAACACCAUUGCCGUCAACGAUGGCGAAGAAACGAAAUGGUGAUGAUGAAACAAACCCACGCAUAAAUAUGACUGAACGCUCACACAUACAAGCAUACAUGCAUACAUGAAACUAAAGAAGAAGACGAAAUAAGUGGAGGGAUUCGAAACUAUAUCAUCAUUAACCACAACAACAAUCAUAACACAAUCAAUUGCAACAACAACAACAAUAACAACAAUAAUUAUAAUAAUAAUAAUAAUAAUAAUAAUAAUGGGCAAUAAUAAUUUGAUAAAAAACACAAAAAGAAAAAAAAAACUCAAAUCCACACAAGUAUAAAUUCCAUCUGAAAAAAUAAUUAAAUUAAUAAUAAUAAUAAUAAUAAUAAUAAUAAUAAUAUUAAUAAUAAUAAUAAUAAUUAAUUAAUUGAUAAUAAUUAUAAUAUUGUAAAGAAAACAAUGACAUCACUACUAACUUCCAACACAUAUCCAUGUACAAAAUGCUCAUAAGCUUACAAACAUAAACGCAAACACGUGCAUACAAUUUCACAGAAGCUAACAAAAAAAUUCACUGUCUCACACGCACGAACACAUGCACCAGCACACACACACACACAAAAAAAAAUACUAUACAUAUACUACAUACACUGUACACAAUAUAAGGCCUGUGAAGAUAAAAAAAAAUGAAACAGCCUGGUGUGAUACAAGGAAAUAAUCUACAUUGAAUUAUAAUAUUAAUAAUAAUAAUAAUGAUAAUAAUAAUAAUAAUAAAAUAAUAAUAAUAAUAAUAAUAACAAUAAUAAUAAUAUAAAUAAGUAUCAUUAUUAUUAUUAUUAUUAUUAUUAUUAAUAUCGUUACUAUUAUUGUGAUUAUUAUUGCGGAGGUGCAGUAAUGUCGCAACAGUUGCUAACCAUGAAUGAGAGAAGUAAAAAUGGUGUCUAAAAUGGUUGCUAUUAUCCACCACUACCACCACCACCACCACCACCAAUACUACUACAACCACCAACACUAUUACCACUACUCGUACGAUAAUAAUGCUGAUGUAGAAUCGUUGUUUUACACCAGCCACAAAUAUUACGACUUGUUAUUCACGCCUUCUUCUUCUUCUUCUUCUUCUUCUUCUUCUACAAUUAUCAUUUUACAAAAAUUGUUUUUCAUAUUAGAUGCUCAGUUACUCUGAAUACUGUCAAUGCUCCUAGAUCUCUUAUAACGCACAACUCAUCGAAAAACUCCCUUUGGUCGCUCUGCCUGCAAAAAAUAAGAGCAACAUCUCUCAUUUCGUCAUAAAAGAUUUCGGAAGAAUCACAUUGCAUAAUAUAAUGGUAGAUGAAUAGAAACGAGACGAUCAAAUAAUCAGGGCUGGAAGGCUUCUCGUUAUAGUUCUGCUCAGUCACUGUCGGUUGACAUGGGGUUCAAACGCAGCACUCUGUUCAAACCUACUAUGCCAUUUAUGAAUAUUUAUUUGUGUUUUCUUUCCGUCUUCAAGUUCUUUAUGAUGGCUUUGAGGAAUGAAAUCUGGUUGUGCUGCCUCUCGUAGGACACGACAAAUGUAUUCUCAAGCAGAAAAUCCAUUUACAAUUAUGAGCUUCAGCUGAAAUUAAACAACAGGCUAAGGCAGUGAAAAUUCUCGCCGACAUAUCUGUCGAGAAUGUCGAUGCAACAAAUCCAAAUACCCAGUCGUCGGUAAUCUUAAAACGCCAAUAAUAAUGCUUAUAAUCAAUGUGUUAUUGGCAAAAAGAAUUGUGUUGAAACAACAAACGUGCACACACACACACACACACACACACACACACACACGCGCGCACACACACACACAUGCAUGUAUACAUAUAUAAACAUGCAUGGAAUAAUUGGCGAAAGAGCGCUUUUAAUAGAUAUGGUGGUAUGAAUGGCGGUCGUCGUAAGAGGAAUGGUAACGGCUGUCGUAAAUGAGGUUGUAGCGGUGCUUGUGGCACCUGUGGCUGAAUAAUUCUAAUAUCAAUGGUUGAGAGAGAGAGAGAGAGAGAGAGUGUGAGUGAGAGAGAGAGAGGAGGAACUGAGAAAGAGAGGUCUUGUUUCAGCUAGUUGGUGUUGGUGUUAAAGAUGGUGGUACAUUAAAAACCUAAUCGAUUGGUUGUGAGUGGUAGUGGUGAAAUAUGGCAGCGAAGACUGGUUAGUGAAUGAAGAAGACGACGAAGGCGAAGUGGAGCAAAAAAAGAAGGCUGUUGAACAAUUCUAAUAUAAAACAUGUAAGACAUAGAUAGAGCUAUGUUGACACUAACAAGAAGAAUGUGAUGACAAAUGAUGGCAAUUAUGUAUGCGUAUAUAUAUAUAUAUAUAUAUAUAUAUGUAUAUGUAUAUAUAUAUAUACACACAUAUAUAUGCAUAUGUAUAUAUAUAUGUAUAUGCGCAUGUACAUGUAUAUGUACAUGUAUAUAUAUAUAUAAAUAUAUAGGAAUAAAUUUAUAUAUGCACGCAUAUACAUAUAUAUAUAUACACAUAUAUGUAUAUGCAUAUAUGCCUGUGUACGCAUGUAUAUAUAUAUAUAUUUACAUAAUUUCUGUAAGUAUAUAUUUGUGCGUAUGUAUGUAUAUCUAUUGAUUAGGCAAAAAAUAUUGUAUACAUAUUUAGACACACGCUCAUAAAUAUAAAUACAUAGGUAUACAUGCAUGCAUACAUGCAUACACACAUAUAUAUACACAUUAUAUAUAUACAUAUAUAUAUAUGGACACUCACACACUAAUGUUUAGAGGCAUAUAUGCAUCUAUAAGUACAUGCAUAAAUAUAUGUGUGUGUGUGAGUGUGUGUGUGUAUAUAUACACAAACAUAUAUAUGUAUGUAUAUUUAUCUAUAUCUUUAUAUAUAUAUAUAUUUAUGUCUAUAUACAUAUGCAUUUAAUAAGGCAUAUACAAAUAUGGUAUAUACAUAUAUACAUACACAUAUACAUACCUAUACAUAUAUAUAUAUAUAUACAUAUAUAUAUGCUACAACAAUAUUUGGAGAACAGAAAUACAACAGACCCCCUUCCCCAUUUUUAGCCAUUUAUUUUUCUCUCCUUUUUAUACAUAUAUUUUUUUCUUUUAAUUUUAAAAAAAAAUUUACUCUCAAAACACGAGAAAAAGAUGAAAUGCAAAACAAAAUAUUAUUUAAAAGAAAUAACUGAAAUCAUCAUUUUUUUUUGUUAUUUUUUCAAUAUUAUAAUAAUUCCGUCCAAAAAAAAUAUGAAAAAAAAACGAACAAAACUGUUUAUCACAAAAAAUGAAAUGCUAAAAUAUUUCAAGUAAAAAAAAAUAUGAAAAGAUCAUCAACAAAAACAACAAAAACAACAGCAAUAC